GCGAUGAGCUAAUUGCGUAAGCCGAUGGACAGUCCUUCAAAGGAAAUGCACGAAUGUGGCGUGCAGUCAUCGCCGCAAUACGUAAAAAGACGCCUUAUUGGCGUCUUU
rnacentral:sRNA from 1 species